CAGAAACUGAAAGAGUCAGAAAAAGAGAGAGAUUCUGCUAAGGAUAAAGAAAAAGGGAAGCAUGAAGAUGGGAGGAAAAAAGAAGCAGAUGUUAUUAAGCAGCUGAAGAUUGAACUCAAGAAAGCACAAGAGAGCCAGAAGGAGAUGAAACUGCUGCUAGAUAUGUAUCGCUCUGCCCCCAAGGAGCAGAGAGACAAAGUGCAGCUAAUGGCAGCUGAGAAGAAGUCGAAGGCUGAGUUGGAGGAUCUCAGGCAAAGACUCAAGGAUUUGGAGGAUAAAGAGAAGAAAGA